rnacentral:rRNA from 1 species
UACGUAGGGUGCAAGCGUUGUCCGGAAUUAUUGGGCGUAAAGAGCUUGUAGGCGGUUUGUCGCGUCUGCUGUGAAAUUUCGGGGCUCAACCCCGAACUUGCAGUGGGUACGGGCAGACUAGAGUGUGGUAGGGGGAGACUGGAAUUCCUGGUGUAGCGGUGAAAAUGCGCAGAUAUCAGGAGGAACACCGAUGCGAAGGCAGGUCUCUGGGCCAUAACUGACGCUGAGAAGCGAAAAGCAUGGGGGAGCGAAC